CCUGGGAAGUACACUGCAUAAUUUGGAGAAAUUAUGAAAAAAAAAUUAUGAAGUAGACACAUGGACAUACUUUUUAAGAGGGAGUUAACAGAAUCAUCAACUUCAUGUAUCAAACUUUGAAUCUCUUGUGUCUGGUGUGGUUUUUCAUUUUCCGAUUUCGUCGUUUUUUCUAAGGAAACAUUUGUUGUUGUUCGUCCGACGGACCCCACACUGUGGUUUGUUUCAUUGACAUUAGUGCUGUUUUGGUGUUUGACAUCCGUCUCGUCUUCACUGUCAUUGUCACUAGAAGUAUAGUAUGCGACGAGAGACAUUUAAAACCCAAAAUGAAGGUACUUUAAAUUUGAAUUACAAUCUCUUUAGAAAUAUUUCCAAAGCGAAGAAGAUUGAGAGAGACAAUUUUUUUGACGGAAGUAAACCACACAUAGUAAUAUUAAAAUC
rnacentral:lncRNA from 1 species